rnacentral:rRNA from 1 species
GCGCAUGGUGAAUGCCUUGGCACUAGGAGCCGAUGAAGGACGGGACUAACACCGAUAUGCUUCGGGGAGCUGUACGUAAGCUAUGAUCCGGAGAUUUCCGAAUGGGGCAACCCAGCAGUUUUAAUCAACUGUUACCACUAGAUGAAUUCAUAGUCUGGUUGGAGGUAAACGCUGUGAACUGAAACAUCUCAUUAGCAGCAGGAAUAUAAAGAAAUUUCGAUUCCCUAAGUAGCGGCGAGCGAACGGGGAACAGCCCAAACCAAAGUGCUUGCACUUUGGGGUUGUAGGACUGAACAUUUGAGUUACCAAAGAA